UCCCUUGAAAAAAUGAUCCAUUGCCUCUACUUUAAGUUCUUCCUUUACAAAAAGCCAACAAUCCUUGAUGAAUUGAAGAAAACAUAUUACUACUAUUAUGCAAUAAGUUAGGCUUCUUCACAACCUUUGUUCAUAGAAAUAAUAUGUAGAUACAUUUAUUUACCUAGAAGCUGAGAUAUUGCACUCGUAUUGGCAUAUCUUAUUUGUUGAAUUUGCAUGCCCUUAUACUCUAUAUUAAUGCAUGCUCAAUUGUAUAACUAACUUAGAAGAGUCUCCACAAAUAUUUCUACGACCAACCAAUGUUUGGAAUGCCAAUACUCAAGUCAGUCUCCACCCGGCUACACUUGUCCUUUUCUGUCAGUUGGGCUGCUCGUGUUAACUCAACCGGUAGUUCUAAUGUUGCCGGCCUUACUCGUCCACACUAGCAACAUCAUGAUUUUAUAAGAAUUCUCAACAAAAACACAUGUAGUUGAAGAGUUUAUGUUUGAUGGUGCAAGAAAUAUUUACAUAAUAAGUCGUCUUCAAUGUGGAAAAUCAAACCGUCCCCAACAAGGUAAAGAGUUCAG
rnacentral:lncRNA from 1 species